AAACAAACAUACUCAAAGAGUAAAAAUGUCAAAAAUAGGGGUACAACAGUCAAUGUUGUGUUAUCAUCUUAAUAUCACUACAUAAACAACAAAUGUAACAAAGUAGCACAAAAAGGCAUACAUCAAAUUCAACAUUCUCAUUUUGCUUUUCCUAUACGGCUGAAUUUAUCUAUGUAAAGUCUACCCAUAAAUGAAAGAAGGUUUUCAUUACUGGUGUAAAAUUGCGCGUUUGAAAUUCGC
rnacentral:lncRNA from 1 species